CUACUUUCUCACAUUAGAAAUAGAUUCAGACAAGCUGUUAAUUUGUAAACUUCUUUACUUUGUUGCAUAUAAAAGGUCCAUCAUUUGUUUUGGAGGGUGGUAAUUUUCUACACCUAAGUCCACAUCAUCUAUUUUUAUCUCAUGCGGAAACACUGCACCUUUUGUGCCCUCUCUCGAACAUAAUUGACUGAAGCUUUGGUAUAGCGUUUUACUUACAGUAUUUCUACUUUCCUUGUUUGCUUACAAGCUGUUUUUUCUUUUUGACUCUGAUGAAUCCCCCAGGCCAUUUUUAAGAACCCGUUCAGGAGGGGUGACAACCUCCUUGUUAUGUGCGACUGCUACACACCACAAGGUGUUCCAAUCCCCACCAACAAGAGGCACAAUGCUGCCAAGAUCUUCAACACCUCGAAGGUUGCAGCUGAGGAGAGAUGGUAUGGAAUUGAGCAGGAGUACACUCUCCUCCAGAAGGAUGUGAACUGGCCCCUUGGCUGGCCCGUUGGUGGCUACCCUGGUCCUCAGGCAAGAAAACUCUCAGCAUGCUCUCCAGCUUUCCGUGUGUUAAACUUACAUAAAAACUGAACAUUGCAUUUCACCAAGUGAAAUGCUACAUUUCUACUCCUAACCCAUUCUCUCUUUCUUAGUGUUUUUGUUAUGCAGGUUGGAAGA